rnacentral:rRNA from 1 species
ACGAACGCUGGCGGCGUGCUUAACACAUGCAAGUCGAACGGAAAGGCCCUGCUUUUGUGGGGUGCUCGAGUGGCGAACGGGUGAGUAACACGUGAGUAACCUGCCCUUGACUUUGGGAUAACUUCAGGAAACUGGGGCUAAUACCGGAUAGGAGCUCCUGCUGCAUGAUGGGGGUUGGAAAGUUUCGGCGGUUGGGGAUGGACUCGCGGCUUAUCAGCUUGUUGGUGGGGUAGUGGCUUACCAAGGCUUUGACGGGUAGCCGGCCUGAGAGGGUGACCGGCCACAUUGGGACUGAGAUACGGCCCAGACUCCUACGGGAGGCAGCAGUGGGGAAUAUUGCACAAUGGGCGGAAGCCUGAUGCAGCAACGCCGCGUGCGGGAUGACGGCCUUCGGGUUGUAAACCGCUUUCGCCUGUGACGAAGCGUGAGUGACGGUAAUGGGUAAAGAAGCACCGGCUAACUACGUG